GAUUCCAGAGGUGAUUGGUGUGCCUGACGAUUUUCCGACGAGGAAACUUCAGAAUCGACGUCAUCUCUUCGGUAGAAAGCUUCGCCGUAGGCAGAGGAAGAUCUUUGAAGACGGCGAACGAAAAUUGGAUCACUUUGGAAGCUGAGGCUAUCAAUGGAUGCUGCUUGUGUUUCGUAUCCUUUUAUCAGUUUAUGCAUAAGACUAAAUGGCUUCACUUAUAUGCUUCUAGUCAUUUUGUGGAUUUUAUUGUGUUAGAUUAUGCUGUGAAGGAGGAGCCUUUGUUGACUGAGGAAUUCAAAGGUAGCCCUGACUACAUUGUUCUCAGAACUUUAGAUACUGAUAGCAUCCGUAUAAUUGGGACUGUGCUUGGGCAGAGUAUUGCAUUGGAUUACUUUGUUUCUCAGGUACACAAGUUGUUGGAAGAGCUCGACCAUAUGCUUUAACAAGAACGAACUGAAAUUAUUGGUGGGAAUCCUAUUGGUCUUGUUUCAGUGGAAGAGUUGGAGUGAUUGCUUCAACCUCGAUGGUUCAAGCCCUCAGAAAGUAGAACCAUUGUUUAUAAGCAAGGUAUGAUCUCUAGGUGACAGCUUGUUCUCAUCUUGGCAUCUUUGACAUGCGUUAUUGGGUAGUUAAUAGAACAUAUUCAUCAACAGGUGAAUACAGUUUUAAAGUUCCUGCUAAUUAAGUUUUAAAGUUCUGAA